rnacentral:piRNA from 1 species
UNGGCAGUGUAUUGCUAGCGGCUGUUAA